GAUGAACGCUGGCGGCGUGCCUAAUACAUGCAAGUCGAGCGAACAGACGAGGAGCUUGCUCCUCUGACGCUAGCGGCGGACGGGUGAGUAACACGUGGAUAACCUACCUAUAAGACUGGGAUAACUUCGGGAACCCGGAGCUAAUACCGGAUAAUAUAUUGAACCGCAUGGUUCAAUAGUGAAAGACGGUUUUGCUGUCACUUAUAGAUGGAUCCGCGCCGCAUUAGCUAGUUGGUAAGGUAACGGCUUACCAAGGCAACGAUGCGUAGCCGACCUGAGAGGGUGAUCGGCCACACUGGAACUGAGACACGGUCCAGACUCCUACGGGAGGCAGCAGUAGGGAAUCUUCCGCAAUGGGCGAAAGCCUGACGGAGCAACGCCGCGUGAGUGAUUAAGGUCUUCGGAUCGUAAAACUCUGUUAGUAGGGAAGAACAAAUGUGCAAGUAACUAUGCACGUCUUGACGGUACCUAAUCAGAAAGCCACGGCUAACUACGUG
rnacentral:rRNA from 1 species